GGGCGUCCCUGGUCAUCAAGUUUUUAAGCCUUCUGCUUGGUAGUAGUGAUUUCCUCCUUCCAACCCACAUUCCUCUGUCUCCCCCAAAUCCCAUCAGCUCUCCUGAUGGGAGGGUAGUUGGCUCCUUGCGAUCCCAACCUUCACUGUGUCCCUAGGGGGAAGCAAGGGACUUUCUGUAGGGGGAAGGAUGAGGGAGAGGCUGGCCACCUGCUGAGCUCUUCUCUCAAACAAACUGAGCUCUAGCCCUGUCUGAGGGCGCUCCGGGCAGCCGAGGCUGGAGGCCGGCCCUGGGACUCCAAGGCCUGGCUAGGUCCGGGUGCCCGUCGGGCCUGGUUUCCCCCUCGGCCUCCUGACUGCUUCCUGGACUUCUCUCUUCUGGGAUCUCUGCUCCUUCCAAGCAGCUCCCCCCUGGAUUAGGGCACUCAGCCUCCCUACCGGGCCCAGCCAGCAGGUCCCUCUGGCUCUAAUCAUGAUUAGGCAGGUGUCCUGCCCCAGGGAGAAGCCCUUGCUGGCCUUCAGUGCCCCCUGCUGGCCAAAGGGGCCACUUCCUUUAGCCCUUGGGGUUUAGACUUCAUUCCAGGGGAAACACGCUGAAAGCUUUCAGACCUCUCCGCAGUCAUGAUUCCAAGCAGGUAGGUUGGAGUCGUGGGAGAGAGAGGGAGAGAUCAUCGAGGCUCUGAUACUUUCCUUGUUUUUAUUUGAUCCUUAACCAUAGGUAAUUAUAUUGAAACAGAUACUACUUAGGGAAUCUGGUUUCAGGGGAUGAAGCAAAAACAAGUGGUUUACUACCCCCGAGUAGCACCUCUUGAUCCUCAUUCUGUAGUCAAUUGCACGACUCUGGUUUUACACAGUCUGGAGGGUCUCACACUAAUCAGAGCUUCUGACACAGACUCACAAGCACACAAGAACCAGUUUUUCCUCACGCCUGGGAGGCCUGGGUGCCUUGGAGAGUUGUGUAAUCCCUCUUGCCCAAUGCAACAGCUAACCGCCAAUCACAAGGGCUUGAGUUGUGUUAAUUCUCGUACAUAUGUUGCCACAUGGUCCAUAUUUCGACACAGUCGGAUGAAUCUCACAGGCUUUAGCAAUCCAUUGUACACUCCGGAGAUUUCUGGUGGAGACAGAUGUUUGCAGGCCACUGGGGCCUUAGGAACAUGCCAAGAAGAUUUUGUGUCAAGGCAAGGACAAUAUAUCUUCCUGAGAUACUACCGUGGAAUACUGAAAAUGACUAUAGAUGAAUGAUACUUAUUUACUUCCUGAGAAACUAUCUCAUCCUAGGACUGCGAUUUUAUGACAAGCUCAAAAUUUCAUCACUACCAUCACUAAAAUUGUGAUUUCUAAAUAUCGUUGAAGUUAAAAAAACAACAUCAAAUCAAACAACUCUCCAUUGAAUGAAAACAAAUAUCCACAAUGAUGGACAUGAAUGUUUAUAGCAGAGUCAUUCAUAAAGAUCUAACUGGAAAUUCCUAAGUGUCUAUCAGUAGGUGAACAGAUAAAUAAGUUGGGGUAUAUCCAUGCUAUGGAAUGCCAGCCAGCAAUAGAAAGGAAGUAACUACUGAUUCAUAUGCAUCGACAUACAAUUCUCAGAAACAUUAUGCUAAGCAAGAUAAGAUAGACAUAGGAAAUGAGAUGCUGUGUGAUUCCACUUAUUUGAAACUCUAAAAGAUGAAUUUUAUUUAUAGUGAUAUAAAGCAGAUAAGGGGUUACCUGGGUCUGGGAGCAAGAGGCCGAGGGGUGGGAAGGGACACAAAAUGUUCUACGUCUUGGUAAUGGUGGUGAUUGCAUAGAUAUUUACAUGUGUCAAAACUCACUGAACUGUACACCCCAAAUAGGUGAAUUUUAUUGUAUGUAUUUCACACCUUAAUGAAGUUGGUUUUUAAGA
rnacentral:lncRNA from 12 species